AAGAAAGAGAGAGAGAAGAGAGAG
rnacentral:sRNA from 1 species